GGAGAAAAGACAUCAUCCUCUUCUAUAAUCCCCAUCUGUAAUUGGACUAACAACUGGACCAGUGAAUGCAGGCAACUUACUCUCCAUUCGACCUUGCAGGUCACACCAUGGUCUCAAGAGGGAAAAUGAGUGCUCUAUGGAUUGAACAGAAAAAGGUGAAUCAAAACUCCAACCAUCUGUAUGAGGGUCUGGAUGGAUAAAGGAUGCCCACUGGAGCUGGAAAUGAUGGAUCAGGUGGAUCCACACUUGAACCAUCUGUAUGAUGAUCUGCACCCACUGGAUCUGUAAAUGGUGGUGCAGAAUUCUGGCCUGGUGUUUGGUCCCCCCUUUCUCUGGCUUGUGUCUCCAUCAUCAUUACACUCUUGUCAGUGUAAUAGUAUCGUCGUCUGCGUACCAG